AAACGGUGGGCACUAGUUGUGGGGACCUUCCACGGUCUCUGCGACGCAGCUAACGCAUUAAGUGCCCCGCCUGGGGAGUACGAUCGCAAGAUUAAAACUCAAAGGAAUUGACGGGGCCCCGCACAAGCAGCGGAGCAUGCGGCUUAAUUCGACGCAACGCGAAGAACCUUACCAAGGCUUGACAUAUACAGGAAUAUGGCAGAGAUGUCAUAGCCGCAAGGUCUGUAUACAGGUGGUGCAUGGUUGUCGUCAGCUCGUGUCGUGAGAUGUUGGGUUAAGUCCCGCAACGAGCGCAACCCUCGUUCUGUGUUGCCAGCAUUUAGUUGGGGACUCACAGGAGACUGCCGGGGUUAACUCGGAGGAAGGUGGGGAUGACGUCAAAUCAUCAUGCCCCUUAUGUCUUGGGCUGCACGCAUGCUACAAUGGCUGGUACAAACGGCUGCAAUACCGCAAGGUGGAGCGAAUCCGAGAAAGCCAGUCUCAGUUCGGAUUGGGGUCUGCAACUCGACCCCAUGAAGUCGGAGUUGCUAGUAAUCGUAGAUCAGCAACGCUACGGUGAAUACGUUCCCGGGGCUUGUACACACCGCCCGUCACGUCACGAAAGUCGGUAACACCCGAAGUCAGUGGCCCAACCGCAAGGAGGGAGCUGCCGAAG
rnacentral:rRNA from 1 species